CUUAAGAAGUUGACAUCCCUGCGUUGUGCCGAAAUCGCCUUCACCGUCUUUCUUGUUCACCGCAAUUUCGCCAAGUUUCUUUCGGGUCUUGUUCAAGUUACAGAGCUUUCAGUCGCCACGGGCUAUAUACCAUCAAGUGCUAAGAUGCAAGAGAUUCUAUGCACCUUUCACAACUUGAAGAGCUUGAAGUUAAAGGUGCAUUUCUAUAAACAACACCCUAUCAUGUUAACCUUAUACUUAUUAAAGAGUGCCCCAAAUCUUGAAGAACUCAAACUAAAGAUCUAUGAUGAGGAGGAGCUUGAAUUUGAAGCAAAUGGAGAGUUUCUGAAUGCAUUAUGGGCUGAUGGCAUGUGUGCCAACCUUCAGGUUGUGCAGAUGAGCGGUAUUC